ACCACGAGCGAGGCCUGCGGGGUGCCCUCGAGCGAGAACCAUGCCAGCCGCCCUCGCACAGUCGCACUCCAUCCCUUCGCCGCCGGCCUCGCGCUCGCAGGAUCGAGGCCUCCCCUCGAUCCCUACGCUACUUCCGUUCCCCGCCACCGAUCCUUUCACCGCCGCCGAUCUCAUCGCUACGAUCCCCUUGGGGAGCCGCCGCCGAUCUCGUCGGUACGAUCCACGACCGAGACAAUGAAAACAGCACCCAAGUCGCCCACCCGUGCCCACUCCCAGCCUUUCCUCUGGACGCGAUGCACAGGAUCGGCGGAGCACCACCGAGUGUAGCACCGACCACGACCUCCAUUUUUCUUUGUGGGCUAGAGAAAAUAUUCUGCCAGAUCUCUCCUAGCGCGUCCACUUUCUUCCGUGGCCAGCAGCAGCGACAAAAAAUCUGGGCACUUAGGAUUUCAGGACUGACGUAGAGGAUAUGAUUAGUACUUUGAGCUGAUCGUGGACCUGUGGUAGUUGAUAUGCUUGAUUGUUCUGCUCUAGAUAGUUAUACUAUUGUUCUGUAUAUAUAGAGAUCGGAGAAGAGAGCAGCAGCCUAUUACUACUGAUUUUGUUCAAGCUGCUACUUGCUUACUGUUACACAUCUACACAGGCAAGGCUGCUGCUUGCUGAUUGCAAUCCAUUCAUGAUAUGUAGAUAUGUAUGCUUCUGCUAGGUACUUGUGAACAGGGAGACAAUGAAUGGACGCUUCAGUGCUAGCCGGCCGGUGGCCACGCAUUGACAGCCACUGCUUGGAUACAUAACUCCAGCCAGCUAUGGUUGAGAAUGGCAAGAAGAUGCUUAUACUCCAUGGUACAAAGUGCUAUUGGUGCAGUUUUGAACUCCUUGCUGACGGAUCAUUUUCACCUGAUGCACGAUCGUUAUGUGAAGUGCGCCAACAAUAACAUCAUCAAGCCAUUUGAGUGUAAUGGUGGAACUCCCUGGAGUAUGACUGUAUGGUUUUCAUUCAAAGAAGAGGCCCAACAAUAUCUUUUGGGACUUUUUAUCACCACAUAUAUGAUCUUAUUGAACUAGGAGUCGAGAAUUACAGUUCCCCGAAAGAUCAUAUAUGCUUGAUGUGUGUGAACAUAUUGCAGGCAGACGGUUCCAGUGAUGACUCAGUUCCCUGCACAGCUUCACCAAGAGGCAUCUGUUGCAUGAGAUGUUGUAUUCUCACCUCUCAAACUAUCUGUAUUCUGAUUUUCUCACUAGGUGUUUGAUAAAAUGCCCGCCCGAGCAAACAAUUUGUUGUGUGCUACCUAAGAGAUGCAAGUUGGAUGUGGAGGAGAAUCAUGUACAAUCCUUAGGUUCUAUGGUUAAUCUGUUUAACCUAGGAGGUGGUCAUCAAGUUUGAGAUGGCAAGUGUAGGUGCUAUAUGCUGUUUUCCAUGAACCAAUAAAAUGCAUUGGCUAUUUUUCUACUCAGAUUUGUUUGUUAUUUCUGAUGGAACAUGAAAAUACUUCUGAAAGGAUUAUAAUUUCUACCUGAGAUUUCAG